rnacentral:rRNA from 1 species
GGGUUGUGAGGUUAAGCGACUAAGCGUACACGGUGGAUGCCCUGGCAGUCAGAGGCGAUGAAGGGCGUGCUAAUCUGCGAUAAGCGCCGGUAAGGUGAUAUGAACCGUUAUAACCGGCGAUACCCGAAUGGGGAAACCCAGUGUGACUCGUCACACUAUCAUUAACUGAAUCCAUAGGUUAAUGAGGCGAACCGGGGGAACUGAAACAUCUAAGUACCCCGAGGAAAAGAAAUCAACCGAGAUUCCCCCAGUAGCGGCGAGCGAACGGGGAGGAGCCCAGAGCCUGAAUCAGCAUGUGUGUUAGUGGAAGCGUCUGGAAAGGCGCGCGAUACAGGGUGACAGCCCCGUACACAAAAGCGCAUGUGCUGUGAGCUCGAUGAGUAGGGCGGGACACGUGGUAUCCUGUCUGAAUAUGGGGGGACCAUCCUCCAAGGCUAAAUACUCCUGACUGACCGAUAGUGAACCAGUACCGUGAGGGAAAGGCGAAAAGAACCCCGGCGAGGGGAGUGAAAAAGAACCUGAAACCGUGUACGUACAAGCAGUGGGAGCCCCACCACUAAGCCAGUGGUGAACUCCACAUACGCAUCCUUUGCUGAGGAUACGGUUAACGGAGCGCAAGCGACGUUCAACCUCAAAAGAAGCAGAGGGGGCUUAGUGGUGGGGUGACUGCGUACCUUUUGUAUAAUGGGUCAGCGACUUAUAUUCUGUAGCAAGGUUAACCGAAUAGGGGAGCCGGAGGGAAACCGAGUCUUAAUUGGGCGUUAAGUUGCAGGGUAUAGACCCGAAACCCGGUGAUCUAGCCAUGGGCAGGUUGAAGGUUGGGUAACACUAACUGGAGGACCGAACCGACUAAUGUUGAAAAAUUAGCGGAUGACCUGUGGCUGGGGGUGAAAGGCCAAUCAAACCGGGAGAUAGCUGGUUCUCCCCGAAAGCUAUUUAGGUAGCGCCUCGUGAAUUCAUCUCCGGGGGUAGAGCACUGUUUCGGCUAGGGGGCCAUCCCGGCUUACCAACCCGAUGCAAACUGCGAAUACCGGAGAAUGUUAUCACGGGAGACACACGGCGGGUGCUAACGUCCGUCGUGAAGAGGGAAACAACCCAGACCGCCAGCUAAGGUCCCAAAGUCAUGGUUAAGUGGGAAACGAUGUGGGAAGGCCCAGACAGCCAGGAUGUUGGCUUAGAAGCAGCCAUCAUUUAAAGAAAGCGUAAUAGCUCACUGGUCGAGUCGGCCUGCGCGGAAGAUGUAACGGGGCUAAACCAUGCACCGAAGCUGCGGCAGCGACGCUGAUGCGUUGUUGGGUAGGGGAGCGUUCUGUAAGCCUGUGAAGGUGGCCUGUGAGGGUUGCUGGAGGUAUCAGAAGUGCGAAUGCUGACAUAAGUAACGAUAAAGCGGGUGAAAAGCCCGCUCGCCGGAAGACCAAGGGUUCCUGUCCAACGUUAAUCGGGGCAGGGUGAGUCGACCCCUAAGGCGAGGCCGAAAGGCGUAGUCGAUGGGAAACGGGUUAAUAUUCCCGUACUUGGUGUUACUGCGAAGGGGGGACGGAGAAGGCUAUGUUGGCCGGGCGACGGUUGUCCCGGUUUAAGCGUGUAGGCGGGUGUUCCAGGUAAAUCCGGAACGCUGUUAACGCUGAGGCGUGAUGACGAGGCACUACGGUGCUGAAGCAACAAAUGCCCUGCUUCCAGGAAAAGCCUCUAAGCAUCAGGUAACAUCAAAUCGUACCCCAAACCGACACAGGUGGUCAGGUAGAGAAUACCAAGGCGCUUGAGAGAACUCGGGUGAAGGAACUAGGCAAAAUGGUGCCGUAACUUCGGGAGAAGGCACGCUGACACGUAGGUGAAGUGAUUUACUCAUGGAGCUGAAGUCAGUCGAAGAUACCAGCUGGCUGCAACUGUUUAUUAAAAACACAGCACUGUGCAAACACGAAAGUGGACGUAUACGGUGUGACGCCUGCCCGGUGCCGGAAGGUUAAUUGAUGGGGUCAGCGCAAGCGAAGCUCCUGAUCGAAGCCCCGGUAAACGGCGGCCGUAACUAUAACGGUCCUAAGGUAGCGAAAUUCCUUGUCGGGUAAGUUCCGACCUGCACGAAUGGCGUAAUGAUGGCCAGGCUGUCUCCACCCGAGACUCAGUGAAAUUGAACUCGCUGUGAAGAUGCAGUGUACCCGCGGCAAGACGGAAAGACCCCGUGAACCUUUACUAUAGCUUGACACUGAACAUUGAGCCUUGAUGUGUAG